CAGUCGCCGCGGGAAUACAGAGGGUGCGAGCGUUAAUCGGAUUUACUGGGCGUAAAGCGUGCGUAGGCGGCUUUUUAAGUCGGAUGUGAAAUCCCUGAGCUUAACUUAGGAAUUGCAUUCGAUACUGGGAAGCUAGAGUAUGGGAGAGGAUGGUAGAAUUCCAGGUGUAGCGGUGAAAUGCGUAGAGAUCUGGAGGAAUACCGAUGGCGAAGGCAGCCAUCUGGCCUAAUACUGACGCUGAGGUACGAAAGCAUGGGGAGCAAACAGGAUUAGAUACCCGCGUAGUCCCUGUCCUUAUACA
rnacentral:rRNA from 1 species